AUCCAACUGAGUCCCGAAUAGGGCGAAACGCGCGUCCUGGAU
rnacentral:hammerhead_ribozyme from 1 species